UUAUUUCUCUAAGCAAAAACAUUCUCUUCUUCCUCUUCAAUUAUAGCCCUUUUAAUUUUGUUUCAUCCCCUAACGGUCAUAUUAUCUCUCUCAACAAAAACAUUUUCUUUUUCUUUUUCAAUUAGUUUCAUCCCCCAACGGUCAUAUUAUCUCCCUCACCAUUCGAAACAUUUCUUCUCUGUCUCUCGCUCCCUCUCCCUCAUGACCUGCCACAAAAGGUAGAGGUUUAUGGGUAUGAUAAUCUAAGUUCAGAUCCACCGGUUAAGCAGCGGGAAGACGUAUACAAUGAGAAGAAUAAUAGAAAAAGCUGUUGAUUGUCAGCAUAUAUGCUUACUGGAAGCUGUUGGACAAAGGCAUUAUCCGAGAACUGAGUCUCAUUCUUUUAUUGAUAAACUUCUGAUAAAGAUAUAUAUCAAAGCUUAUAUGUGGUUAGUAUGGCUGCUGCAGACAAUUGAAGUACUCUCCAAGAAAAUUCAGAUUGUGUUAGAUCUUUUGUAGCAUGCCUGGUAAAAAGUUGGUAACUUUUGCCAAUAUAAGCAAACUACAUAUGCAAUUUUUAUGUUAGAAUUUCACUGUGUAGAAGUUGCUAAAGUGAUCCAUGGUUUUCAGAAUUUUGUAGAUAACAAAUCUCAGGUUUCAGAUAUGCUAAAUUCCUGUUGCAACACUCUCUUGGUGGUAUUGCACGUACUGCCAUCAUAUGUUACUCUAAGCCGCAGAAUUUGCCAUGUUGAACAAUCUCGAAACACUCUACUUUUGCCACAAGAGCAAAGUAAGACUACUAACAAUGCCCAAGUCAAAUGCUGGUUAAAACACACAUUGCAGAAGGAAGCCAGGCCUCCUGCGGACCGUUAACCCUUCAAAGUAAAAAAAGACGUGAUAUUCAGCAGGUGAAUUUCUAGCUUAGUUGAAUUUAGAAGCUUACAUCUUUUUUUCAAUUU